GCUUUAAUUAACCGACCCAAAGAGACCCCACUAACCAACCGACAGGAACAACAAAUCUCUACAUGGGCCGACAAUUUAGGUUGGGGUGACCUCGGAGAAUAAAAUAACCUCCGAAUGAUUUAAAUCUAGACUAACCAGUCAAAAGUAUUACAUCACUUAUUGAUCCAAAAACUUGAUCAACGGAACAAGUUACC
rnacentral:rRNA from 1 species